AUGGCUUCAGGCAUCAUGUUCCGACGUCUUUCCAAGGCACUCACCAUGAGCCCAGCAGCAGCAGUGGCAUCUGGUAUGACCAGCCAGCACCACCAGCUUCAGCAGCGUGCACCGGUGAGCGGCACGUCCAAGGGCAAGGCCAAGCUCAAAGCUGGGAUGCCUCUGAGGCGUAGCGUCAUAGCGAAGAAGGGGGGCGCGCCUGCCACUGCUGGGAGCGGCGGCGCUGGCCGUGGUCGCCGUGAAGCCAUCGAGCGUAUUACUCAGAUUGCAGAGUCUUGUCUGAAGUCCUCCACUCCUCUACGGCACUUGUCCCCCAAGGAGCGUCUCCGCGAGGCAAAGCGUGAGGAGCUUGGGCUCAUCUCCAAGGAACGGCAACGUGAGCUUGACGCUGCCAAGGCUAAAGCUAAAGCUAAAUCCAAGGGUGCCAGUGGAGGUGAUGGUGACCGUGUUCUGAUGGGUCCGCCGGGCCUUGACUAUAUCAGUCUUGGUCUGGUGGAUGAGGAGGCUAUCCCUGAGUAUGAGCUGACAGUUGAAGAUGGCCGGCGUCUUGCCAAGGAAUACAGCCGUGUGCUAAUGCGACGACACCGUGCACGUCAAACCGCAGAGUCAACGCUCUUGAGGCUCAAGAAGGAGGCCAUUGCUGCGCUCCCAGAGAAGCUGCGGGCUGCUGCUAUGGUUCCUGACAUGACCCCGUUCCCUGCAAACAGGUACAUGGCAACACUCACGCCACCGAUUGAAGGGUAUAUUGAAAAGGUGCGAGAUGCUGCCAAGAAGUAUUCAGUGAAGGAGAAACUUCGUUGA
rnacentral:rRNA from 1 species